AUCUACCUACUUAAGCUGUGAGGUUUCCUGGGUAGCAAACUUCUGCAAGAGUUCUGUGAGCACAAAGACAGCAAGGGCCGGGCUUCUGGGGGCGCUUGGGUGCCGCUGCAUUCGAAACAGGCCCCGACGUGGUGAAAGCCGUACUACUCAGGGAGUAUCUAACUUCUCCAAACUGCUCAUGACAAAAGAAAAUAUAAACUGCAGUUUUAGAAAUCACUCAUAUACAGAACUACAGGUUUAAUUUGUAUGCAUCGUCAACCUUCAGACUUUCAACUUGUCCAAAAUGCAGACAGCUUUGUUUUGCAUCACGACUCUCUGUGGAGAUGCGCAGUGAAAAAACAAGAUGCAUCGGGCACAAACUGCAGCAAGAGAAAUUCCCAUUAAAUAUGAGGAAAAGUUUUUGACCACGAGUGCAGACAAACACUGGAAGAGGUUACCCAGACUGCGCAGUCUCCAUCCUCAGAGAUGUCCCAAACUCAAAGGGCAAGUCCCUGAGCAACCUGGUCUAAGUUAGCCCUGCUUUGACGAUGCAGCAUUUGGGUUACCCCCAGAAGUUUCUUCCAGCCCGUAUGACUCUACGAAUAAAUUAUUUGCAGUUAUACAUACAGUAUGUAAUCAAUUUUUCAGACCACGUUGAACGUUUUCAUAGUUUCACCACAGACAAAGUGAUUAAAGUUCCAGUUCUGUCCUUCAACGUAUCGAUGCAUUUUUAAAAACUAUUUCCAAACUCACGUCAACACGUUAUGAUAUCUUAGCUAUGUACAGAGAAAUCUUGAUCUUUGGGGAACUGCCGUAUUCAGAAUUACAUGGCAGUCUGUGAAGCACCCCCAGCUUCUUCAUUCCUAUUAAAGAAUUGUCUCAAACUUAUAGAUUACUGCGUGACUAUACCCAGGAAAGACUUUUAAAAUCCUGCAUCUACUCCAAAACAUUCUGCUCCUAAUAUUAAUGUCCUUUUGAAAUGAAUGAUUCAGAGCACAUACUGAUUUAAUACACGUAAGAACUAAUAAUUCUUUUAUUUUUAAAAGUACCAGUGAUGCUUCUGAUGUGGUUUUGGAAAAAAGGUGCAUCUGAAGCAGAACCUCCCUCACUGGUGGGUUUGUUUUUGCACAGUGAGCUCUGCUGCCAACGUAUUAACUUUUGAGGACUAAGCCACACACACGACGAUGCAUUUUACAGGCAAAGACUUCUCACCUCAAAGCACUGAGUAAACAAAGUUUUCCUUAACCGAUGCGACAAAACUACGCUGCAGAGUUUUGCUGGUGUAGUUAGCUCGGUAGGUUUUCACAGCUAGUUUAAGAAACUGCAAAGUUACCCAACGCACCAGGAAGCGUGAGGCAGCCAAGCCAGCUCAUUUUUCACAAACGGGACCCUAUUUCCGUGUCAGAAGAGAGAUUUUGUUCUGCUCACAGUGAGCUGGCUUUCUGUUAAAACUCCACCUUACUCCGUAAGCCUUCCUAACCAAGCAGAAACACAGAGACAUAGGCGUGUUGAAAGAGGUGUGGCUCCCUUCUGGUAUCACGUUUGACAACGCACAUAGUUAUGCUUAGCAUUUUAAGGAACAUGAGCAAUUUUUGCACUAAAACCCUGAUGUGCGAAAAUUUCCUACCAAUACUCUCCUUUCCUCACUGCACACACCCCUGUUUUCUAUCUCCGCACCAACACAGCUAUUUAACUCCUGUGCUUUGUAGUGAACAGGAUUCACACUGCAAAAGGAAAAAAAGAUAAAGCACCUACAGUAAACACGUCCUGGCGAGUCACCGAGAGGCACUGACUAUAGAGUACUAGAUUUCAUUACGAUUUUAACAGUCUUGUUUUUCAUGUGCUGCUAUUUGUUAAUGAGUAUUUACAUUACUAAAUGCAUCUUUUACAGGAAAAGCAGUAUCUUCCAUUAAUCAUUGCUUACAUUCAUGGAGAUAAAUUGUAGCUUUUAUACGCACACUAAUACAGUCAUGAAGAAACAUUUUUAUAUAUGCUUAUUAGUUUGACAUCGCCACAGGCAGAAAAGCAAUUUGUACAGAAAUUGGAACACAAUUAAACUGCAAAGAAUGGUUAUUAAACUUUUAGCCAAACUCGUUCAAAUAUGCUGAAUAAAUAAAUAGGUUUUGCAUUCAAGACUUAUUAAGAGAGGAUGCAGUAUGGAUAGGAAGGGAAGGGAAGUGAUGAUUUCCAAUUGCUACCUCACUUAAGAGUUCAGGAUUUCCACCUCUCACAUCUAAUUUUUAUUUAUAGACUGAAACACAAACAAACUUUUGUUUUUCCACUUGUCUGAAAGCUUCCUAACUUUCAGCAACCAAAGCCAACAGGACGGCCAUAAAACCCCGUGUCUCACCACAGCUCUCUUUAGGGCUGGAAAAUCCCAGGUGCAGUAACCUUCGCUGGCAAGAGCCCAGCUUCACACCUUGGGCUUUGCACAGUCUUACACACCGCAUCAACUACAGCUAGCUCUCAGACGUAUUUAUUUUUUAGCGCUUUUUACAAAUCACCCACACGGUAUCAUCACUUUGAAAGAUAUGCAAGGUUUCAAAAUCUUGUGCUAAAAUGAGAACCUAAGGAACAGAGCUGUGAUCGAAACCAGUUGCACAAUCUCGCAUGCUGAAAUAACAUUCUUUCUGGAAAGUGGCUCUUCUCUUUCCCUGCUUUUAGAGCUCCUUUACCUGAACCACGCACUACUGCCAGUUUAUUCCACUAUCCCAAUUCGUGCCCUUUCUGUAUUCUCCCUUACACCAAGCACAGCAAGUUUUAAACCUGAGUUAUGUUACAGCCGUGUUGAACUGGCUGCUAGGUGACACCAGCAAGUUGGUGCUGCUGCCACAGGAAUUACUUACUGCCUUCGCAGCACUGGAAUUCCUGACUACGCACAAAGCAGGACAGGAACUGAGUUUCCGAACCCGUGGUAUCACCAGAUCACUUAUCUCUUAUUUUGCUUUUAUAGCACUAUUAGGAGACCAGUACAGAAGAGUCUAUAUUUGUUCACCUUCUUCCCUCCUCGAAUUUCAGUAGUUCUGACCAGUGUUGUAGCUAUGUAUCUGUCAAAGUUACCUACAACCCGAUUGCACCACCACCAUCUAUACCAGCCUUUGAAGCUCUCCAUUUCUUAUCACGGAAGAAAGAUAUAUGGAGAGGCAAUAUGAUUUAUUCCCUGUGAACAUUAAUGUUUGUCUACCUGUCCUCCUGUAUUUGUAAUCACAGUCCCAGCUGGAUGGCUGAGAAGGGUGUGUUUUCCAAACGCUAUCCAGCAGGAGGAUCCCUUUAGCUCAGUGCUGCUCAAUGUCUCAGAUAAAAUUUAACUAAUUUCAUAAAUGUUAACUUCAAAAAAUUGUUUUAUUAUUCAUAUCAAGUGACAAUUGAGAGACCAGAAAUUAACCAAACUGAAGAAAUUCAAUUCAAGAUCUCCAUAUGCAUUAAGAAUUUGCACUUUCAAAUUUCAUUCCUUAUAGAGUAUUCAUUUAGUGACUCAAUCGAGGGCAAAUCUGUCCACUUAAAAUCACAGUAAUUUAACCAAAAAAUGCUUUAGUCUAAACCGAGGAAGUCUUCUACUUAAUCCACUUAGAGUGCACACUCUUAGUUUAAUACCAUCAGAAAACGAUUAUAGCUUUUAAGCAGUAAACAUUUUUAUUGUAAAAUGAUAGCAUAACUGAAAUGUAUCUAUGCUUUCAAGCACAUUGUUAAAAGGCUAUCCGACAUAACUUAAAUGAUGUAAUAAAACCCUUAAACAAGCCCAUGCCGUUUUGGGGACCCCAGUCUUUCCAAGCACUGGGUGGGAGCUGCCCAAUACAGAGAAUGCUCGUUUCAGAAUGGAUAAAUACAUCACACCUUGAUAUACCACCUGAGAGGUUCACACUCAAGAAAGCUAAUCCACGUACCUCUUUUGUGGAAAAGUAAAAUCUUGAGGUAUCAUAAGGUCUCCAGGGAUAUUUGCUUGCUUUUCCAUGAGCUUGCAGCAUUAGCCAUCUUUGUUUCAUUAGCCAAUAAAAUCUCUUGCCAGGCUUGGAAAAUUCCAAUCAUAUAGGACAAUCAAUUUUAUAUGAGACUGAAGUGGAUAAAAGAAUCAAUUUAAAUUUACUAUGGCAAAGCACUGAUUCUGUUUGUUUAUACCAAGGCAAGAGGAAUCUCUAGAAGGUCUGCACCCAUUCUGAGAGGAAAGAAAAACUGCAAUUAACAGACAGAAGAAAGUUCAGGACUUAACUCCAUCAGUCAUGCAGGUACAGUAUUAAGCACAGGCAGUGCUUCUCAGCUCACGGAGAGGCAAGAUGAAAGCGUCACCAUAAUUUACAUUAUUUGUCAGGACAAGAGGCAAUGGGCACAAACCAGAACACAGGAGGUUCCCUCUGAACACCAGGAAACACUUUUUUUAUUUUUAUUUUUUUAUUAGCUGUGCAGGUGACUGAGCACUGGCACAGGGUACCCAGAGAGGUCAUGGAAUCCUCCUUGGUGAUCUCCAAAAGCCACCUGGACGUGGCCCUGGGCAACCUGCUCUGGGUGGCCCUGCAUGAGUCAUUCUGUGAUGCCAAAAUAACUUGUAGUUGGAGUGUUUUUAAGCAUAUUCCCUAACAGCAACAUACGGGAUUAGGUUACUUGCAUGUUCUAGAAAGGAUACAAAGAACCAUGGACCAUCAUGUAUGUGAAUGUGAACCAUGUAGAGGACUAAAGCCUCUGGCUGGAAAGAAAUGGAGGGACCCUCAUGUUAUGCAUCUUUUGGCCUAUCAGCGGCUCUCUAGUUCUGAAACGUGGCCCUGUUAAUCCCAAACAUGCAAAAAAUCUGCCUUUUCAUAACCACUUAAGACAUUUUGGACAUCCCUCUAAGUUCAGAGAAGCUUGAAACAUCAUUUUUUGGUGUCCACAACCUUUCAGUCAUCUCAGAGCUUCUGCUGCCAGGAAAGCACACAUUUUUUGAUCAGAAACGAAUAAAACUGUGUGUUAUACGAAGACAGGGGCAGCGCACGCAAGCCACCACACCCCAGCUGUGAAGCAGGCAGCUGCCACGAAGCUGCCUCCAGGAGAGGAAGCCAAGGAGCGCCGAUAACUGAGGUCUCCAAGACACCCUGCUCCUUGAGAGGCUUGCCGUAAAAAUCACUUUCGACCCUCCGUUUUCCUGCUCAGCAACUGGUGGGGAGAAACUCCAGGGAGAAUGGAAGUGGCUCCAUGAACGAGCUGAAGAAGAGAGAGCACAGCUGGAGCACAAUGAACUCAAUUCAGCGAGGAUGGAGCGCAGAAGGGAGUGAAGGAAAAGCAACAGGGAAAUUCCUGAGGUUGGAACGGGAAGGCUGGGAAGAGAAGAGAGGACCAGCAGAAAGCAGCAAUGGUGCUAGGACAAAGCAAAUAAAGGUGAGGAAAGCAACGGAGCUGGACCAUUGCUCUCCCCAGCCAUUGACUUCUUAUAGGACUAGAGCAGCCAAGAGUUUUUGAAGAGCUCCAUGAGAAAGCACACAAAUUCUUUUCCUUUCCUCUCACUGAGCCUGGUUCCUGUUUAUAUUUUUAAUUAUUCCCUUCUGAAAAAGGAAAGUGUAGUUUUCUAGCUGGAUUUAUUUAUAAGGGGACAUUGUUUGGCCAUUUUAUUUUUCAACAGGAAAUGGCAAAUGUGCUGAUUUGUAUAAUGAAGUUGAGAUUCACUGGAGGAGUCCAAAUUCCUUUUUCUUUUGCUCUCUAUGGAAGUGAAUUUCUUAUGAAGAUAAAAUCUCAGUAAAGAUAAACCAUACAAGCAGAUGUGACUGAAGGGCUGAGAAUUUCUGUGCCUAUCUAGAGAAAAAUGUCUCAGAAGCAAUGUUACUUCAUGCUGCACAAUGGCAUGGGGCCUUUAUUUUUGAUUUUAUGUCACAUAUGAGAAGAAACAGUAUAAAGAGGUGAUAGGAUUUUUAAGUAAAGAAAUGUAAUUGUAUUUUUGGUAGUUUGGUCCCUGAAUGAUUUCUGAAAUUAGUACUUGAGUUUACUUGCUUCUGACCUCAAUAAAAGUUCUGAAUGGUAAAUACUUCUGGAAAUCAGGACAAUGUCCAAAUAUUGAUGUGGGAAUGUAACUUCAGUCAUCUGCUUUUAAAACAGGGUUUGCAAUAUCAGAAGUAACUUGUGAUUCUGAUUCACCCCUUUUGAGAUGCCAUUAUGCUUCCAAUAAGAGGCAUUAUUCAACCAUUGGUGACAAAGGGUGUCUUUACAGGACACCCUCAAUUGCAGAGACAAAGUCAUUAUUAGAAAAGAUAACCCUUUCGUUUCAGGGUUAGUAACUUCUUAGUUGGACAAGAAUAUUUCUGACUCAGGAUAUAACAGUGUUAAUAUUUUGAAACUCAUGUUUUUGUUCUUUUAGUGUUUGCUGUGUUCCAGAAUCUGCUUUAGAUAGUCAGUGUGUGUGUAAAUAGGAUGAGGCCUGCACUGACACUGGGUGAGCAGAAGAAGGCUGUAACACCCUCAUCUCUCCAGGUGACUAAUGGCUGAAUGAACUGCUAGCAGAAAAUGCAGCCAACAUGCAGUCCAGUUCAGAGUAGUUUCAGAUGAGUGUCUGCUGCCCAACUGGCUCUUCCACACUUCACACACUAUUGCAUGUUACUGACUGAGUGGACUUGUGAAAUGUAAAUGGCCUAUUUCUAUUCUCUUUAAAAAUCAGGCAUUUCUUCUGAUAGUGAAAAUAGGUCUGAUGUGAACCGGGAUUGCAGUAGGUUGCAAUGAGGAUCCCGCGAAAGGCACAGAGAUCCCAAUAAAGAAGGUCUGUCAGGUUACAAAUCCCAGCAGCUCAGAUCAGCUUUCUUUUCUUUGUUUCAGUAUGAACUUCCCAAUAAAUGGGAUCUGAGGUUCGUCAAAGUCUGUAACAUUCAGUCUUGCAGGAAAACAAAUUUUGGAAAAAAGAAAAAAGAAAAAAUUUCCAUCUCUCAUGUUUUAUAUAGCUCCUAGCACCAGGCAUCUGCUCA